rnacentral:rRNA from 1 species
GACGGAGGAUGCAAGCGUUAUCCGGAAUGAUUGGGCGUAAAGCGUCCGCAGGUGGCAGUUCAAGUCUGCUGUCAAAGACCGGGGCUUAACUUCGGAAAGGCAGUGGAAACUGAACAGCUAGAGUAUGGUAGGGGCAGAGGGAAUUCCUGGUGUAGAGGUGAAAUUCGUAGAUAUUCGGAAGAACACCAGUGGCGAAGGCGGCUAACUGGCCCAUUACUGACGCUGAGGCUCGAAAGCGUGGGGAGCAAACAGG